UACGGAGGGGGCAAACGUUGCUCGGAAUCACUGGGCGUAAAGCGCACGUAGGCGGCCGAUUAAGUCGGGUGUGAAAGCCCCGGGCUCAACCCGGGAAGUGCAUUCGAAACUGAACGGCUUGAAUAUGGAAGAGGGUCGCGGAAUUCCCGGUGUAGAGGUGAAAUUCGUAGAUAUCGGGAGGAACACCAGUGGCGAAGGCGGCGACCUGGGCCGAUAUUGACGCUGAGGUGCGAAAGCGUGGGGAGCAAACAGG
rnacentral:rRNA from 1 species